UACGUAGGGUGCAAGCGUUAAUCGGAAUUACUGGGCGUAAAGCGUGCGCAGGCGGUUUUGUAAGACAGGCGUGAAAUCCCCGGGCUCAACCUGGGAACUGCAUUUGUGACUGCAAGGCUAGAGUACGGCAGAGGGGGAUGGAAUUCCGCGUGUAGCAGUGAAAUGCGUAGAUAUGCGGAGGAACACCAAUGGCGAAGGCAAUCCCCUGGGCCUGUACUGACGCUCAUACACGAAAGCGUGGGGAGCAAACAGG
rnacentral:rRNA from 1 species